GCCGGGUGUGGUGGCGCAUGCCUGUAAUCCCAGUAGCUUGGGAGGCUGAGGCAGGAGGAUUGCAAGUUCAAAGCUAGCCUCAGCAAAAGCAACUCAGUGAGGCCUUGUCUCUA
rnacentral:sRNA from 1 species